rnacentral:rRNA from 1 species
GACGUAGGAGGCGAGCGUUGUCCGGAUUCAUUGGGCGUAAAGAGCACGCAGGCGGUUUGGCAAGUCGGAUGUGAAAACCCGGAGCUCAACUCCGGACCUGCAUCCGAAACUGCCCGACUAGAGGUAGGUAGGGGAGAUCGGAAUUCCUGGUGUAGCGGUGAAAUGCGCAGAUAUCAGGAGGAACACCGGUGGCGAAGGCGGGUCUCUGGGCAACUACUGACGCUGAGGAGCGAAAGCGUGGGGAGCGAACAGG